rnacentral:siRNA from 1 species
CAUUGCUGUAAGCAUCUCUUGCCG